AUGGGAAACUAUUUGACAGCCAAUCGUGAUCAGUUGAUGGUUGAACUGAUUUAAUGAGCUGGCUGAAAAGAGCAUUUGUGGACUAUACUGCUAUAUUCAACGCCUUUGGACACAUAUGUGUACAAUUAGUGGGAGACAACACAGUUUACACAAAUGUCCCUCAUGUCCUACUUGUUCUUACCACUAAUUGAGAUAAUUCAUGUUAUUUCAAUGUAUUUAUAUUGGCACACAUUUUCACCAUUUUUCCCACUCGUUUAAACCAGGAGUCUCAAACUGCCAGCCCGGGUGCCAUUUCCUGACAAAUUUUCUUUUUUGCUAAGUAUGAUUUUAGUAAUGGAAAUAUUUUCAGAAUAUUACACUUUCUUACCAGAAGCUUCUCCAAGCUUUGAGUUUGAGACCCCUGACUUAAACCAAUGCAAAAGCUCAUCAUAAAAAAAAAUGUUUUUUAUAGUUUGAUUAUUUGAAAAUUAACCUCGAUCCAAAUAAAGAUUACAUCAAUGCAUUAAAAUAAAUACAUUAUCAAUUACAUUUAAAAAAAUAUAUUAUUAAGUAAUAUUUUUUUUUAUUAUCACUGGCUUUUAUAGAUAUAUUUAUACAAAGCCACUGCAUAAAUAGUUUGGUUAUUUGCAUUAAUUAAAAUUAAAAAUGAAUACAAUUUUAAAUACCACCUUACAACGCCUGUUGGAUGUGUUUUUCCAAUACACAUUCCUAAGACCUCCGACCUGGGAUCAGUGCUGAUAUCUCAGCCACCAUAAUCCCUUUACAGUUAGGAUCCGCCCACACAGCCAGGAUGAUUGACAGCCGACUCCUCCAACCAGGUGGCGGCCGACUUGCCUGGCCUCCUUUCUCCCCUCCUCCUCCUCCUCCUAGUCCGACUUUGUUGCUCUCCUGCCCCGCUAGCCCGUCUCCAGUCUCUCCGGGGAGCCGAAGAACAACUCGAAAAACUCCCAACCAUGGAAGAAGACAAUAUAAUAAUGCCUGUUUGACUCGGGGGGGACAUUUUCCAAGACUGGGUGGCCUGAUCAAGAAGAUGUUCCUCAGUUUUAAUUUCACAGUACAUUAA
ensembl:lncRNA